GCGAGCCUGAUCCAGCCAUGCCGCGUGUGUGAAGAAGGCCUUCGGGUUGUAAAGCACUUUCAGCGAGGAAGAACGCCUUGGGAUUAAUACUCCCGAGGAAAGACAUCACUCGCAGAAGAAGCACCGGCUAACUCCGUGCCAGCAGCCGCGGUAAUACGGAGGGUGCAAGCGUUAAUCGGAAUUACUGGGCGUAAAGCGCGCGUAGGUGGCUAAGUCAGCCAGGUGUGAAAGCCCCGGGCUCAACCUGGGAACGGCAUCUGGAACUGCUUGGCUAGAGUGCAGGAGAGGAAGGUAGAAUUCCCGGUGUAGCGGUGAAAUGCGUAGAGAUCGGGAGGAAUACCAGUGGCGAAGGCGGCCUUCUGGACUGACACUGACACUGAGGUGCGAAAGCGUGGGUAGCAAACAGGAUUAGAUACCCUGGUAGUCCACGCCGUAAACGAUGUCAACUAGCCGUUGGGUCCCUUGAGGACUUAGUGGCGCAGCUAACGCAAUAAGUUGACCGCCUGGGGAGUACGGCCGCAAGGUUAAAACUCAAA
rnacentral:rRNA from 1 species